GCUACGGGAGGCAGCAGUGAGGAAUAUUGGUCAAUGGACGAGAGUCUGAACCAGCCAAGUAGCGUGAAGGAUGACUGCCCUAUGGGUUGUAAACUUCUUUUAUAUGGGAAUAAAAUGUUCCACGUGUGGGAUUUUGUAUGUACCAUAUGAAUAAGGAUCGGCUAACUCCGUGCCAGCAGCCGCGGUAAUACGGAGGAUCCGAGCGUUAUCCGGAUGUAUUGGGUUUAAAGGGAGCGUAGGUGGAUUGUUAAGGCAGUUGUGAAAGUUUGCGGCUCAACCGUAAAAUUGCAGUUGAAACUGGCAGUCUGGAGUACAGGAGAGGUGAGCGAAAUGCGUGGAGUAGCGGUGAAAGGCUUAGAUAGCACGAAGAACUCAGAGUGCGAAGGCAGUUCA
rnacentral:rRNA from 1 species